UUAAGUUCAGCGGGUCUUCCUACCUGAUCCGAGGUCAACCUUGGGUAAAUAAGGCUUUUAACGGCCGGAACCCGCAGCACGCCCUGAGCGAGAUGUAUUACUACGCUCGGAGUUGUAGCGAGCCCGCCACUUCCUUUCGGGGCCUACGGCAGCCGUAGGGCCCCAACACCAAGCAGUGCUUGAGGGUUGAAAUGACGCUC
rnacentral:misc_RNA from 1 species